rnacentral:tRNA from 1 species
GCCGGGAUAGCUCAGCUGGGAGAGCAACAGACUGAAGAAAUCGUGCUUUCUGGAGGUCCCGUGUUCAAUCCACGGUCCUGGCA